UACGUAGGGUCCGAGCGUUGUCCGGAUUUAUUGGGCGUAAAGAGCUCGUAGGCGGUUCCGUAAGUCAGAUGUGAAAACUCAGGGCUCAACCCGGAGACGCCAUCUGAUACUGCGGUGACUGGAGUCUGGUAGGGGAACACGGAAUUCCUGGUGUAGCGGUGAAAUGCGCAGAUAUCAGGAGGAACACCGAUGGCGAAGGCGGGUCUCUGGGCAGUUACUGACGCUGAGGCGCGAAAGCGUGGGGAGCAAACAGG
rnacentral:rRNA from 1 species